CCUACGGGUGGCAGCAGUGAGGAAUAUUGGUCAAUGGACGAGAGUCUGAACCAGCCAAGUAGCGUGAAGGAUGACUGCCCUAUGGGUUGUAAACUUCUUUUAUAAAGGAAUAAAACGAGGCACGUGUGCCUUUUUGCAUGUACUUUAUGAAUAAGGAUCGGCUAACUCCGUGCCAGCCACCGCGGUAAUACGGAGGAUCCGAGCGUUAUCCGGAUUUAUUGGGUUUAAAGGGAGCGUAGAUGGGUUGUUAAGUCAGUUGUGAAAGUUUGCGGCUCAACCGUAAAAUUGCAAUUGAUACUGGCAGUCUUGAGUACAGGUGAGGUAGGCGGAAUGCGUGGUGUAGCGGUGAAAUGCUUAGAUAUCACGAAGAACCCCGAUUGCGAAGGCAGCUUACUAAACUGUGACUGACAUUGAUGCUCGAAAGUGUGGGUAUCAAACAGGAUUAGAUACCCGUGUAGUC
rnacentral:rRNA from 1 species